rnacentral:rRNA from 1 species
CCUACGGGAGGCUGCAGUGGGGAAUAUUGGGCAAUGGAGGCAACUCUGACCCAGCAACGCCGCGUGAAUGAUGAAGGUCUUCGGAUUGUAAAGUUCUGUGAUGGGGGAUGAACACAAUGACGGUACCCCAAUAGCAAGCCACGGCUAACUACGUGCCAGCAGCCGCGGUAAUACGUAGGUGGCAAGCGUUAUCCGGAAUGACUGGGCGUAAAGGGUGCGUAGGUGGUUUAGUAAGUUGGCGGUGUAAUUCCGGGGCGCAACCUCGGCGCUACCGCCAAAACUAUUAGACUAGAGUGCAGGGGGGGGUAGGGGAAUUCCGAGUGUAGCGGUGGAAUGGGUAGAUAUUAGGAGGAACAUCAGGGGGGAAGGCGAGUUACUGGACUGUAACUGACACUGAGGCACGAAAGCGGGGGGAGCAAACAGGAUUAGAUACCCGGGUAGUC